CUAUGAUAAUUAAUUUCACAUUUAACUAUGUCUUCCACAAGCAGCUUUCAUGAGACAGCACUAACACUACACGGGGGAAUAUCGAGGUCCAGAGGAGCCACUCCCCUCAAAGGUCUGCAGCUCAGUGAGGCACUAGCACAGUUUUAGGCUCUCGAGCACCAUGUAUCUUUCCCCUCCUUGGGCAAUGAAGACUCUCAAUAACUAUUUGCUGGAUGAAUCAAUGCACACCCACAAAUACUGAAAAACACGUGUCUAACACGUGUCUGUAACUUAGACGAAACAGAAGGGAAUCUGUGUCCAUGGUAUAAAAAUUAUCGAUUCAGCUUUAGGGAAAUGAUAAGUGAGAAUAACCAUUUAAGGGAAAUCUGUUAACCAUGAAGGGUGCCAUGAUCACACACUCAAUGUUUACAACUGUACAUUCACAGAAUGCCUUGAAGCUAUUUGAAAUAAUUCUUGUGCAUGUUUAAUGGAAGGGCAUCACAAAACACAAGAUCUAAUAGAGCCCUUAACAACUGAGUUCUACAAUACUGUCUAGUUCUAAUUGCAUGUUUUAAGCAGAACAGAAUCUAGGUAAACCAUGCAGAGUUCCAUGUCUGGAACCUUCGAUUUCUAUUGCCUAGCAAUGAACCUUCUCUCAAGAAUAGCUGAAUAAUCUUUAGCACUCACUAGAAGCUAACUCCAGAUAUGCAGAGAAAGGCACUUACUGCUUUCUUGGCAAGAAAAGCAACUCCGAGGCCUUAACUGUGGGGAAACCAAUCAAAACCUCUACUGCAAGCACACAAGUACAAACCUGGGAAUCAGGUAUUCCCCAGAAUGAAGCUCCUUAAAAGUCACUCUCCUGCCCCUGAAGCUUUUGGCCGAGAUGGACACAAUCAGGGCUAUGAAAAAAGGAUGGCUAUGUGACCUCAUAGGCAAAGUCAGCAUCCAGGAAGCCUUAGAAAGGACCAUAACUGCACCAGAAGAAACUGCAAAUACUGCUUUCACAAAGAAUGCAGAGUAAAAUGAAAUACCAACCAUCACUAUAGUUUUCUUAAUAAUGUUGAGGCUUAAGAAUGAAGACCUUGGACUAAGGCCUAGAGACAUGAUUCAGCAAGUCCUUUACAUGGUUGAGACAUUACUGACAUUAGAGAUUUUGACUUUCCGAAGUUCAGUACUUCUGAACAGCAUCUAAAAAAAUGAUACUUAUAAAACUGCUUUUUUGCAUUCUGGAUAAGAAUGAUACAAGCCAGGAAAUAAUCCCAUUUUAAUUAAAGCUGGCAUGUAUGAGGAGAAAUCCUGAAUGGCAGUCUGCACACUACCUUCAAGGGGACCCCAGCCACGAGGUGAGAACAGACAGUAACGCGAGUGACCAGGGCUGACAAGCAGAGACUGACACGGACGACGGAUCAAGCACAAUGGCUCUAGUGAACCUAAAGUAGUUUGCCUUCAAGCUUUCCUCUUUUAGUUCAAUCUGCGUCACUUUGACUUUUCCUUAAAGUUGUGUGGGA